rnacentral:rRNA from 1 species
GUCCACGCCGUAAACGAUGAAUACUAGGUGUGGGGGACUGACCCCCUCCGUGCCGGAGUUAACACAAUAAGUAUUCCACCUGGGGAGUACGGCCGCAAGGUUGAAACUCAAAGGAAUUGACGGGGCCCGCACAAGCAGUGGAUUAUGUGGUUUAAUUCGAAGCAACGCGAAGAACCUUACCAGGGCUUGACAUCCAACUAACGAGGUAGAGAUACGUUAGGUGCCCCUUCGGGGAAAGUUGAGACAGGUGGUGCAUGGUUGUCGU